UAUGAGAGUUUGAUCCUGGCUCAGGACGAACGCUGGCGGCGUGCCUAAUACAUGCAAGUCGAACGCUUCUUUCCUCCCGAGUGCUUGCACUCAAUUGGAAAGAGGAGUGGCGGACGGGUGAGUAACACGUGGGUAACCUACCCAUCAGAGGGGGAUAACACUUGGAAACAGGUGCUAAUACCGCAUAACAGUUUAUGCCGCAUGGCAUAAGAGUGAAAGGCGCUUUCGGGUGUCGCUGAUGGAUGGACCCGCGGUGCAUUAGCUAGUUGGUGAGGUAACGGCUCACCAAGGCCACGAUGCAUAGCCGACCUGAGAGGGUGAUCGGCCACACUGGGACUGAGACACGGCCCAGACUCCUACGGGAGGCAGCAGUAGGGAAUCUUCGGCAAUGGACGAAAGUCUGACCGAGCAACGCCGCGUGAGUGAAGAAGGUUUUCGGAUCGUAAAACUCUGUUGUUAGAGAAGAACAAGGACGUUAGUAACUGAACGUCCCCUGACGGUAUCUAACCAGAAAGCCACGGCUAACUACGUGCCAGCAGCCGCGGUAAUACGUAGGUGGCAAGCGUUGUCCGGAUUUAUUGGGCGUAAAG
rnacentral:rRNA from 1 species